CGCCAUGUCCCCGCUGGAGACUCGGACUGCACCCAUCUGGUGAUAGACCACAGUAUCAGCAGUAAAAACGACAUCCCGUUUGAGACGCACCACAAGCUGAACAUGGUGACGGGAGAGUGGUUCUGGGCCAGUAUACAGAUGGAAGCCUGCGCUGAGGAAUCCAUGUACCAGUUUGAAAAGAUUGAGAAGACGCCUUCUUCGGCAUUCAACA